CAUAUGAUGAACGUUAUGAGUGCCCAAGUUAGUUUGGUGGGGAAAAGGAAAGCAGGUGCGAUUCCUGCGCUGUCCCGCAACUGUAAGGACACUAUCGGCUCGGUUCUUUACCAGCAGCAGCGGAGGAUGAAGAGUGGAAAGUGUCCAAGUCAGAAAGCCUGCUCAUAACAAGAUCCAUUG
rnacentral:ncRNA from 2 species